rnacentral:rRNA from 1 species
AGUGAACGCUGGCGGCGUGCCUAAUACAUGCAAGUCGAACGGAGAUUCAGUAGCUUGCUAUUUAAUCUUAGUGGCGCACGGGUGAGUAAUAUAUAGCUAACUUGCCCAUUACUAGGGGACAACAGUUGGAAACGACUGCUAAUACCUUAUACUCCGUAUCUAUAUAAGUAGAUACGGGAAAGUUUUUCGGUAAUGGAUAGGGCUAUAUCGUAUCAGCUAGUUGGUAAGGUAAUGGCUUACCAAGGCUAUGACGCGUAACUGGUCUGAGAGGAUGAUCAGUCACACUGGAACUGAGACACGGUCCAGACUCCUACGGGAGGCAGCAGUAGGGAAUAUUGCUCAAUGGGGGAAACCCUGAAGCAGCAACGCCGCGUGGAGGAUGACACUUUUCGGAGCGUAAACUCCUUUUCUUGGGAAAGAAUUAUGACGGUACCCAAGGAAUAAGCACCGGCUAACUCCGUG